rfam:Candidatus Woesebacteria bacterium RIFCSPHIGHO2_12_FTLL_46_16 rifcsphigho2_12_scaffold_40583, whole genome shotgun sequence.
GGGCCCAUAGCUCAAUGGUAGAGCAGAUGCCUUUUAAGCAUUUGGUUGGGGGUUCGAAUCCCUCUGGGCUCA